rnacentral:rRNA from 1 species
GACGAACGCUGGCGGCGUGCUUAACACAUGCAAGUCGAACGGAAAGGCCUGCUUUCCCUUGUGGAUUGCGGGUACUCGAGUGGCGAACGGGUGAGUAACACGUGAGUGAUCUGCCCCCAACUUGGGUAUAAGCCUGGGAAACUGGGUCUAAUUCCCGCUAGGACUGCAGGGUGGUGCCUGUGGUGGAAAACGAUUUUCUUGUGUUUGGGGAUGAGCUCGCGGCCUAUCAGCUUGUUGGUGGGGGAAUGGCCUUCCAAGGCGGCGUCGGGUAGCCGGCCUGGGAGAGUGAACAGGCGUAUUGGGACUGAGCUACCGCCCCGACUCCUGCCCGCGGCAGCAGUGGGGAAUAUCGCACAAUGUGCGGAAGCCUGAUGCUUCGCCGCCGCGUAGUGGAUUACGGCCUUCGGGUUGUAAGCUCCUUUCGCCCCCGAGCACGCCAGCUGGUGGGAAGGGUGGUGACGGUACUGGUAGAAGACGCACCGGCUAACUGCGU